rnacentral:rRNA from 1 species
GACGAACGCUGGCGGCGUGCUUAAUACAUGCAAGUCGAACGGAAAGGCCCUGCUUUUGUGGGGUGCUCGAGUGGCGAACGGGUGAGUAACACGUGAGUAACCUGCCCUUGACUUUGGGAUAACUUCAGGAAACUGGGGCUAAUACCGGAUAGGAGCUCCUGCUGCAUGGUGGGGGUUGGAAAGUUUCGGCGGUUGGGGAUGGACUCGCGGCUUAUCAGCUUGUUGGUGGGGUAGUGGCUUACCAAGGCUUUGACGGGUAGCCGGCCUGAGAGGGUGACCGGCCACAUUGGGACUGAGAUACGGCCCAGACUCCUAAGGGAGGCAGCAGUGGGGAAUAUUGCACAAUGGGCGGAAGCCUGAUGCAGCAACGCCGCGUGCGGGAUGACGGCCUUCGGGUUGUAAACCGCUUUCGCCUGUGACGAAGCGUGAGUGACGGUAAUGGGUAAAGAAGCACCGGCUAACUACGUG